ACUCUCAGCAACGGAUAUCUUGGCUCUUGCCACGAUGAAGAACGCAGCGAAAUGCGAUACGUGAUGUGAAUUGCAGAACUCCGUGAAUCAUUGAAUCUUUGAACGCAACUUGCGCCCGGGGCUUGUC
rnacentral:rRNA from 1 species